GGGUUGUGAGGUUAAGCGACUAAGCGUACACGGUGGAUGCCCUGGCAGUCAGAGGCGAUGAAGGACGUGCUAAUCUGCGAUAAGCGCCGGUAAGGUGAUAUGAACCGUUAUAACCGGCGAUUUCCGAAUGGGGAAACCCAGUGUGACUCGUCACACUAUCAUUAACUGAAUCCAUAGGUUAAUGAGGCGAACCGGGGGAACUGAAACAUCUAAGUACCCCGAGGAAAAGAAAUCAACCGAGAUUCCCCCAGUAGCGGCGAGCGAACGGGGAGGAGCCCAGAGCCUGAAUCAGCAUGUGUGUUAGUUGAAGCGUCUGGGAAGGCGCGCGAUACCGGGUG
rnacentral:rRNA from 1 species